GAUGGAAGUCGUUUUUGUUAUAGUGACAAAUAGUAAACCAGAAUCAUGGCGAAAUUUUUACUUGCAUUGUUGGCUUUGAUUGUGUGUUUUGCUGCUAUUUUAGCAGAAUCCCUCACUAUUGAAGAUCGAAAUGAUAAGUCAAAAUGUUAUGUUGUUGGGGUACUUUUUUGUAAAUUGAAAUGUUUGAUUAUGGGUUACAAAGAUGGAUAUUGCAAUGACGAUGGAAUUUGCGUCUGCGUAGAUCGAAUUCAAACCAAGUAAAUUUAUCCCUAAGAAGAAGAAGGAAUAAAAAUAGAUAUUGUAUUAUUGAAAUGUUUAGUUUUUAGCAUAAUUACAUUUUAAGUAGAUAUGUAAGUGUUAUAUACUUAUAAUAAAACAAUUUAUUAAAUACAGAAAAGUAACUUAUGAAA